GGCAUCUUCUUGUUUUUAAAGACCUAGCAAUAGGUAUGCUUAGGGAGGAGCUUGCGUCACAUUAGUUAGUUGGUGGGGUAAAGGCCUACCAAGACUAUGAUGUGUAGCCGGGCUGAGAGGUUGAACGGCCACAUUGGGACUGAGACACGGCCCAAACUCCUACGGGAGGCAGCAGUAGGGAAUUUUCGGCAAUGGAGGAAACUCUGACCGAGCAACGCCGCGUGAACGAUGAAGUAUUUCGGUACGUAAAGUUCUUUUAUUAGGGAAGAAUAAAUGAUGGAAAAAUCAUUCUGACGGUACCUAAUGAAUAAGCCCCGGCUAACUAUGUGCCAGCAGCCGCGGUAAUACAUAGGGGGCAAGCGUUAUCCGGAAUUAUUGGGCGUAAAGGGUGCGUAGGCGGUUAAAUAAGUUUAUGGUCUAAGUGCAAUGCUCAACAUUGUGAUGCUAUAAAAACUGUUUAGCUAGAGUAAGAUAGAGGCAAGUGGAAUUCCAUGUGUAGUGGUAAAAUGCGUAAAUAUAUGGAGGAACACCAGUAGCGAAGGCGGCUUGCUGGGUCUUUACUGACGCUGAGGCACGAAAGCGUGGGGAGCAAACAGGAUUAGAUACCCUGGUAGUCCACGCCGUAAACGAUGAGUACUAAACGUUGGGUAAAACCAGUGUUGAAGUUAACACAUUAAGUACUCCGCCUGAGUAGUACGUACGCAAGUAUGAAACUUAAAGGAAUUGACGGGACUCCGCACAAGCGGUGGAUCAUGUUGUUUAAUUCGAAGGUACCCGAAAAACCUCACCAGGUCUUGACAUGCUUCUGCAAAGCUGUAGAAACACAGUGGAGGUUAUCAGUUGCACAGGUGGUGCAUGGUUGUCGUCAGCUCGUGUCGUGAGAUGUUGGGUUAAGUCCCGCAACGAGCGCAACCCUUAUUGUUAGUUACCAGCACGUAAUGGUGGGGACUUUAGCAAGACUGCCAGUGAUAAAUUGGAGGAAGGUGGGGACGACGUCAAAUCAUCAUGCCCCUUAUGACCUGGGCUACAAACGUGAUACAAUGGCUGUUACAAAGGGUAGCUGAAGCGCAAGUUUUUGGCGAAUCUCAAAAAAACAGUCUCAGUUCGGAUUGAAGUCUGCAACUCGACUUCAUGAAGUUGGAAUCGCUAGUAAUCGCGAAUCAGCAUGUCGCGG
rnacentral:rRNA from 1 species